GACGAACGCUUUCUUCUUUCCUAAUACAUGCAAGUAGAACGCUGAAGAGAGGAGCUUGCUCUUCUUGGAUGAGUUGCGAACGGGUGAGUAACGCGUAGGUAACCUGCCUUGUAGCGGGGGAUAACUAUUGGAAACGAUAGCUAAUACCGCAUAACAAUGGAUGACACAUGUCAUUUAUUUGAAAGGGGCAAUUGCUCCACUACAAGAUGGACCUGCGUUGUAUUAGCUAGUAGGUGAGGUAACGGCUCACCUAGGCGACGAUACAUAGCCGACCUGAGAGGGUGAUCGGCCACACUGGGACUGAGACACGGCCCAGACUCCUACGGGAGGCAGCAGUAGGGAAUCUUCGGCAAUGGGGGCAACCCUGACCGAGCAACGCCGAGUGAGUGAAGAAGGUUUUCGGAUCGUAAAGCUCUGUUGUAAGUCAAGAACGAGUGUGAGAGUGGAAAGUUCACACUGUGACGGUAGCUUACCAGAAAGGGACGGCUAACUACGUG
rnacentral:rRNA from 1 species